AUGCCGUCACUGCUCCAAGCGUCAGCUCUGGCAGUCCUUGGGGCUUUGUGUGUGUGUGGUGCAGUUCACUUAGAGCAACCGCAACUUUCCAGCACUAAAACACUGUCAAAAACAGCCCGCCUGGAAUGUGUGGUGUCUGAAGGAACAAUUUCUGCAAAGUCCAUAUAUUGGUAUCAAGAAAGACCUGAUGAAGUCAUACAGCUCCUGGCAUACGUGUUAUCUAACGACACUGUCAGAAUGGCACCAGGCAUUGCGUCAAACAAAUUUGAGGUGGACAGGUUACCCGAAGCUUCCACAUCUACCCUCACCAUUCACAAUGUAGAGAAACAAGACUCAGCCAUCUACUAUUGUGCCUCCUGGGAGUUGCACAGUGUCACACAAUUAGAGCCAUGUCAUUCAACAAAUGUUCAUCGGUUCUUUAUUCAUUAUUAUGAAUUGGGAAACCACAGUUACCACCAGUGCGCUUUUAUACAGUCUUCAGGAUAG